rnacentral:lncRNA from 1 species
GUCUUUUUUUUUUUUUUUUUUUUUUAAUGAUACUCUAUUCAAAAUGAAUUCUGAAGGAAAAGUUGCUCAAGUCUGUUUCAGAGCAUACCCUUUGAAAUCUUUUUAGACUACUCUUCUAGAAUUCAUCAUAACCCCAAAAUAGAUAAAAGCUAUUAUCUGGAAGUUGCCCUGACAAGCUAUUGCACAUCUCUGGUAAAUCCUGCUGAAUGUAAGGAAUAUUCAGAGCUUUCAUACCUCAUCAUGAUGUUAUUUAAGCAGCCAACUUACAUGACCUGAUUUACUUUGAAAAAUUUGUUUCAUUCAAACUAGAAAGUUCCAGAGACAAAGGACAUUGCUCAGCCAAGAGUGUGAGGCGUUCUUGCCCUAGUCUUUACUUGUGUCUGUGCUCUGGGAUGGAUGCCGUCUGAUGUCUGUUACUGAUGGAGCAGACACUACAAAACUAUUCAACUCCCAUCUGUCCUGUUGUUUUCUAGUGCUGCUUUGUGCUGAGAGAACAUGUUAGUUUACUGAACUUGACCUGUACAAGACUGAUUCUUUGUAAUUUUAGGGAUAAAUUAGGUGGUUAAUUUAAAGAUGAACUUUCAAUGUUGCCUUUACAUCACAUUACAAUAUCACUUCUUUGAGAAGGGUAAUAGAAGCACUGAUUCAUAGUAAAAAUUUUGUUUUUAGCUUUGACUUUUCUUGUGGCUGAUUUCUUUUUAAAUUGUAAAUUACUGGUAACAUGUUAUUUCUAGAUAAUGCUUUAAAUUAUGUACCUUCUAUUGGAUAGUUAAAACCUUUGCAUCUUAUAAACGCGUUUGAUCGAAAAGAAAUACAAAGCACACAGAGUUGUCACCCCACCUUACCAAGAGCAUACAGCUGGAACUUUUGUAGCAAUAUCAGGGUGACCCCGUGAGUUCAGGUCCAUUCAUCAGUGUGAGCUCUUUUAUCUUAAGCCUGACCAGAAGUUCAUGAACUUUAAAUAUCCUGAACGUUGUUUUUAUAGUAAAACGAUUGUUUAAGUGUAAACAUUGGAGUCAGCUAAACCCCAGCAAAUUUAGAUGUUAUGGAACUGAGUAUUUACAACACAGACUUUUUUGUUUUUUAAUGCAAGUGGAAUUUUAGGGGUUACUUGUAAAUCCUAUUUUUAGUCUUUCACCUGGCAAAAUCUAUUAAUUUAGUUUAAUCUUUUGAAUAUUUUUAUCAGAAAGGUAUUACUUAUUACAGAAGCAUGUUAUUAGUAUUUAUAACACAAAACCUCUUAAGGAUUUUAGAUAGUGAUCAGGGCAAAGUGGCUUUGUUGUUGUUACUUCCCAGUCUCCCUCCAGACUUUCCAAGUAUGUAUUUAAUACUGAGAACUUUGAUUUAAAAAGAAAAAAACAUUCAGAGAAUUUGAGAUAUAAAGGUAUCUGGCACCUGAAGCACCAGAAGGUCAAUACAGUUGGGUGGAGAAAUAAUUGGGAGAGUACAGAUGCCUGAUGUAGAGCACAUUUAGGAGACUCGUCUGUGGACACUUGUUCUUGCCACCAGUCAGAGCUUGUAGACUGCCCUCACUCGCCCACUGCUGGAAGGAAGCUCUGCUGCGCCGGGGUCGUCCCCACACCAGACAGAGCUGUUGGACCCUGGGUGUUUCUUCAGCCUUACUGUCCUAUAAUAAGUCUGAAUUGUUCCAGUUGCUGCUGACUAUGCCUAAGAAAGCAUAUGUAAGUAUAAUUUGUCAACCAAAUUCUGUUGUACAUGACCACCUACUGGCAACUUUGGUUGGUUUCUGUAGUGCUAAUAAACAUUUCAGCUGUCUGACCCCAAACAUGGGGCUGUAUUGUAAAACAGGUUUUCCUUGGGUUAUGGGAUUUAUUUCUGAUUAAAUUUGGGACAUUUUUCAUAUCAACAAGCAAGCCAUUUUAGCUGUUUUUAGGGGCUAAACCUUUUUAUUUAAGUUGGGAAGUGUGUUGAGUACCAUAAGAAAAAGGAGUCAGCUUUUUUUUCCCCCCCUUUUCUUUUUUUCGGAGCUGGGGACCGAACCCAGGGCCUUGCGCUUCCUAGGCAAGCGCUCUACCACUGAGCUAAAUCCCCAGCCCCAGGAGUCAGCUUUUGAGAGGGGGACUCCCACAUUCCCAAGUUUGCUCACUUGCAGUUUCAUUUUGAAGUCCUAAAUUAGUAGAGCCAUUUCCUUUUGUUUGGGGUAAACAAAUCAACUAUCUGCAGAGUUGAAGGAUUUUGGUCUACCUUUUCCUAUCAUUCAAAAUUAGUUAAAGGUAGUAAUUGGAGACCAGAUGUGACUAAGUAUAUUUGUAAUAUAAAUGACAUUCUGUGAUACUCUUUAUUGUCAGGAAAGGACAGCUUAGAAAAAUAAGUCCUAAGACAUCAGGUUAAUGUUUAAUAAAAUAGAUGUUUACUAUUUUAAAAAUAUGUCAUUGCUGGAGCUGGAGAGAUGGCUCGUGCUAAGAGAUCAUCUGUUAUGAGAAGUCACUGCCCUUGAAGAGGGGGUGGGGAUCCUGGCACCCCUGUCAGGUGGCUCAUGCUGCUGUCACUGCAGUUCCAGUGGAGCCAGAGCCACCUUCUGGCUUUCUCAGGUACCACGUGCACACAUGGUGCGCGUGCAUACCCGGGAACAAGCACUCGCAGAUGAAAACAAACCUUAAUUUUUUACAAAGUGUCAAACUUCUGUUGGUCAUAAGAUCAUCUGGAGGCUCCAGGUAAGAGGGAAUAUUAGUGGAGCCAAGGUUCAGUUUUUAGCUAAGAGUAGACAAAUUUUUGUUUUCCUUUAGGUCAAAUAAACGCAAGUCAUAUUUAGUGUCUAUUUUGUUCCAGUUAAUUGACUGAGUUCCCUUAAUCAGUCCUCUAGUUGCUAUUGAAGAUGGAAAAUUAAGACUUAAUGGAUUACUUCCCUUCAGUGUCAUAAUUCUUAGAUGUGGCUGUCCAAAGGAGAAAGCCUUUGCAAGUUCUGUUUCUCAUGGUCAGACAACAUUUCUGUGCUCAGGAAGUCCUGGGCUAGAUUUUUUAAUAGUCAUCAGUGGGCAAACCUUUUGUAUUAGACCAUUGUUCCCAACCAUUCCUAAUUGGCACUACUUUGAAGUGGCUCCAUCUCAUAUAUCACUAUUGCUAUUAAUUUGCAUAUAUGGAUAGAUGAACUGUCAUUAGAUAUAGUCAGACGAGUGCAACAAUGGUUUAAAAGAAAUUCAUUUGUUGGUUAUGAAUUUAAUGACCUAAGUGAAAACAGAGAUACUGAUGAACAACAACAACAACAACAAAAACGCUUUGGGGUGCAGAGUAUCUGGUCUUCUGAGUAGCACCAUGGGCGUGACGUUAGCCUGCCCUGCUCUCUUAAACGUAGAUUGCCCCGUGAACCUAUCCCUUUUGUUUGUCCAUUGGUUAUUUCCUACCUCAAAACAUUCUGACCAUCCUGUGCCCUUUCUCAAAAGAGUGUUUGUACACCUGAUCUGGAAUGGCUAUUGAUUCUUUGUACUGUAUGCAUUCUGCCAGGCCUUGGGUGAAUGCUUUGCACAUGGUCAAUUUUCAAUAAAUAGUGAAUGAGGAAUAUAC